AGCUUUGCGCAGUGGCAGUAUCGUAGCCAAUGAGGUUUAUCCGAGGCGCGAUUAUUGCUAAUUGAAAACUUUGUGCUUUUACUAUGGGAAAAAAUUAACAAAUGCAAAAUUGAGUACUGACAAAUGAGCCCUCUUAAUGCCUAUGAUCUCCAGGCAGGACUCGAUUAUCUUUGUAUUACCUGUGUUCUCCUUUCUUAGGG
rnacentral:snRNA from 1 species